rnacentral:rRNA from 1 species
AUUGAACGCUGGCGGCAUGCCUUACACAUGCAAGUCGAACGGUAACAGGUCUUCGGAUGCUGACGAGUGGCGAACGGGUGAGUAAUACAUCGGAACGUGCCCGAUCGUGGGGGAUAACGGAGCGAAAGCUUUGCUAAUACCGCAUACGAUCUACGGAUGAAAGCAGGGGACCGCAAGGCCUUGCGCGAACGGAGCGGCCGAUGGCAGAUUAGGUAGUUGGUGGGAUAAAAGCUUACCAAGCCGACGAUCUGUAGCUGGUCUGAGAGGACGACCAGCCACACUGGGACUGAGACACGGCCCAGACUCCUACGGGAGGCAGCAGUGGGGAAUUUUGGACAAUGGGCGCAAGCCUGAUCCAGCAACGCCGCGUGCAGGAUGAAGGCCUUCGGGUUGUAAACUGCUUUUGUACGGAACGAAAAGGCUCUGGUUAAUACCUGGGGCUCAUGACGGUACCGUAAGAAUAAGCACCGGCUAACUACGUGCCAGCAGCCGCAGUAAUAC